rnacentral:rRNA from 1 species
GCAAGCCUAAACAUGCAAGUCGAACGGUAACUUUUGGUGCUUGCACCGAAAGACGAGUGGCGAACGGGUGCGUAACGCGUAUGCAAUCUGCCUUUUACUAGGGUAUAGCCCAGAGAAAUUUGGAUUAAUCCCCUAUAAUAUCAUUUAAUCGCAUGAUUUUAUGAUUAAAGCUUCGGCGGUAAAAGAUGAGCAUGCGUCCUAUUAGUUAGUAGGUGAGGUAACGGCUCACCUAGACUCCGAUAGGUAGGGGUCCUGAGAGGGAGAUCCCCCACACUGGUACUGAGACACGGACCAGACUCCUACGGGAGGCAGCAGUGAGGAAUAUUGGACAAUGGACGAAAGUCUGAUCCAGCUAUGCCGCGUGCAGGAUGACGGCCCUAUGGGUUGUAAACUGCUUUUAUACAGGAAGAAAAACUCCGACGUGUCGGAACUUGGCGGUACUGUAAGAAUAAGGAUCGGCUAACUCCGUGCCAGCAGCCGCGGUAAUACGGAGGAUCCAAGCGUNAUCCGGAAUCAUUGGGUUUAAAGGGUC